rnacentral:rRNA from 1 species
GGGGGGCCCCGUUUUAAUAAAAUGUAAAGUCCGAGCGGUAGCACAGGGGAGCUUGCUCCCUGGGUGACGAGCGGCGGUCGGGUGAGUAAUGUCUGGGAAACUGCCUGAUGGAGGGGGAUAACUACUGGAAACGGUAGCUAAUACCGCAUAACGUCGCAAGACCAAAGAGGGGGACCUUCGGGCCUCUUGCCAUCAGAUGUGCCCAGAUGGGAUUAGCUAGUAGGUGGGGUAAUGGCUCACCUAGGCGACGAUCCCUAGCUGGUCUGAGAGGAUGACCAGCCACACUGGAACUGAGACACGGUCCAGACUCCUACGGGAGGCAGCAGUGGGGAAUAUUGCACAAUGGGCGCAAGCCUGAUGCAGCCAUGCCGCGUGUGUGAAGAAGGCCUUCGGGUUGUAAAGCACUUUCAGCGAGGAGGAAGGUGGUGAGCUUAAUACGUUCAUCAAUUGACGUUACUCGCAGAAGAAGCACCGGCUAACUCCGUGCCAGCAGCCGCGGUAAUACGGAGGGUGCAAGCGUUAAUCGGAAUUACUGGGCGUAAAGCGCACGCAGGCGGUUUGUUAAGUCAGAUGUGAAAUCCCCGGGCUCAACCUGGGAACUGCAUUUGAAACUGGCAAGCUAGAGUCUCGUAGAGGGGGGUAGGAA